AUUGAACGCUGGCGGCAUGCCUUACACAUGCAAGUCGAACGGUAACGGGCCUUCGGGUGCCGACGAGUGGCGAACGGGUGAGUAAUACAUCGGAACGUGCCCGAUCGUGGGGGAUAACGAGGCGAAAGCUUUGCUAAAACCGCAUACGAUCUACGGAUGAAAGCAGGGGACCGCAAGGCCUUGCGCGGACGGAGCGGCCGAUGGCAGAUUAGGUAGUUGGUGGGAUAAAAGCUUACCAAGCCGACGAUCUGUAGCUGGUCUGAGAGGAUGAUCAGCCACACUGGGACUGAGACACGGCCCAGACUCCUACGGGAGGCAGCAGUGGGGAAUUUUGGACAAUGGGCGCAAGCCUGAUCCAGCCAUGCCGCGUGCAGGAUGAAGGCCUUCGGGUUGUAAACUGCUUUUGUACGGAACGAAAAGCCUUCUUUUAAUACAGGAGGGUCAUGACGGUACCGUAAGAAUAAGCACCGGCUAACUACGUG
rnacentral:rRNA from 1 species